UUAUGGCCAUAUCACAUUGACAAACAGGUUCCCGUACGAUCACCAAAGUUACGCAACGUGGAGCCUGGUCAGUACCUUGAUGGGUAACCGCUUGGGAAUACCAGGUGCUGUAA